AUCUGCCUUUCUAAAGGGGAGGUGGCCUGCACGAGCUUCUAUACAGCUCUGUACAACGAGGACCAGCUGUUAGCUGAGGAGCUAAACGUCACUAGUUCGGUGGAGGGUCUGUCGCUGAACUGUGAUGCGGUUGGCAGUGUUCCCAUGGCAAUAGAGGAGACAACAGACACAGCCAUAGACGGCCAGCCUUAUUCAGGAGUGUUGCAGCAGGUAAGAACCCGGCUGGGCGUGUCUGUGGGCGAUGCAACCAAGCUAAAUGUGUGCAAGCUAGGGGUGGCACUGGGCUUGCCACGCCGCACUGUCAGGGAGUG